CCGCUCUCGCCAUAUGAACAUUUGCCGGGUUUGGGAUGAUGAUCCCGUUCCCGUAUAGUUCAGGACGCGAGAGGCCCGGCUGCGACGCCCUGUACAUAUUGCUGUUAGGAUGAACGCUGCCCAAUCGCUGGCCGUAUCCCGGAAACGCGGAGCGGGCGUCCUGCGGGCAAAGGAUCUGCACGGCGGAGGCGAGCAACCGGAGGCAAAAUGAGUCUCCAUUGGUCUUACGUCUUGGAGGUCGAGAUCGCAGUUCAGCUCGGGGCUGACCGCCGAGAGCUUCAUCGAGAGGAACUGCAGAAACCAAAACGGGCAACACUAGGAGCUUCAGCCAUUGUUGGCCAAGAGUGAGUGAUCUUUGAGGAAUCUGUUUCGGUGUGCUUACCUCGACCUGCCGCUGCAGGGACUGCACAUAGUUUAUGAUCUCGUCGAGCAUCAUGGCCUUGCCUGUAAUCUUCUUUGUCACAGGCAGCCGCAUCGGUUAGACCUGGGACGAGGUCUUGUAGAUGCUUCAUCCUCUCGUUGAUCUUCUCCCUCCGAAACUGCAUUUCAGACGGACAAGCUAUUACAAGCAAGAAAAUUGCAGCCCUUUCAAUUAUGUUACUGGAGAGAUUGGUCACUCACCCUUUCUGCAAGGCUGUGGUUGUUGGUCGCCUGGCCGCGCUUCGCCCGGAUAUGCACGUAGUCCUCUCUGUUGCUAGCAGCAUCACCUUCCUUCUCGCCAGCGCGCUCCAUGCUGACCUCUCUCUGAGACAUGCCACCGGUUUCCUCCUGCUGUGUGAUAUGUAAACGAUGAGAUGCAGCCCAAAAUGAUGAAACUACUAAGAACAGGGAAGGGAAGAAUUUCUA